UUUGACUUCUCACAAUUUUCGUUUCUUCUCAUUUGGGAUAUUCUCCUUAGUAUAUUCUUUUCUUUGCAGCUUCAUGGGCUUGUACUUUUAGCUGCCCAUUGUGCAAUCUAAUAGAUGAAGGACUUCCGGGAGACAUUGGAUCCUUGUCCUCUUUGAAAGAGUUGAUUCUCCGGGGAAAUAGUUUUGAGCAUUUGCCUCGAAGCAUAUCUCAACUUGGUGCUCUUCUAUCCUUGGACUUAUCAGAUUGCUAGAGGUUUACCCAACUGCCAGAACUUGCACCAGAAUUAGAUGCAUUGCAUGCAUAUUGGAGCAAUGAUACGAUCUAUAAUUCGUUUGCACAUGUCAUGUUUCAAAAUAUCUCUUCCCUACAGCAUGACAGCUCUGCUUCAGAUUCCUCGUCACUAAGAGUGUUUACCACUGGGAAGAAUAUCCCAAGUUGGACCUUCGUGGAAUUGGUAGAAGUACAUCAGUCAAUUUGCCUGAAAAUUGAUAUGUAUGUGAUAACUUCUUGGGGUUUGCUGUAUGUUACUCUUGCAGAUUAGUUGACACGAUAGCUCACCCGAUUCCCUUAUGUAAUGAUGGGAUGUCGUGGAUCACCCAGAAACUUGCCUUAUACAACCAUUGAAAAUGUGAUACAACAUCUAGUAUUCAUUUUUUCUUGGUACUUUUUGCUGGCUUAUGGGAUAUAUCAAAGGCAAAUGGAAAAACACCAUGAUUAUGGACUUAUCAGGUUAUAUUUUUCCGGAGAAAUGAAGAAGCAUGGAUUUUGUUUGUUGUAUAAAGAUGAACCUGAGCUUGAGGCCUUGUUACAAAUGAGGGGCAAUAAUGAUGAGCCAACAGAACUUUGCAUUGGAAUAAGGAGGCGCAAAUAUGAAGAUAGUGAAAACCAUGAAGAAGCCAGUUGCUCCUUUUGUAAGAAACACACGUCACAUUCUAAUAUCCGUGGCUCUGUUUUCGAGAAUCUGCAGCAACAAGUAGAAGCUCCAGUCUCUUCAAAAACGUUGCAGCUCUUCCCCACAAGCCCAUGAUUUUAGAUUAAAUAUUGAGUUCAUCAAUAGGUGAUGUACACAUCAAUAGUGGGUUUUGUCAAUUGAUUCCCCAUCUUGUAUUCGACUUGUGUUGAGCCAUGAUUAACCAUGGUGAGUUCAAGGCUGUGAACAAGUUUAAAUUUUCUAUGCUCAAGUCAGAUCCUGGAAUCAUGCGAUCUUAACUCAAAUCUUACCUUGAAGUACUCGCAAAUCAAGAAUUUGAACUUGAUUAGUUGCUCACAUUUUCGAUGUGAAUAAGGACUAGGCUGUCUCCUAACUAAUUAAUUAUCAUAUUCAAUUUGUGCCUGAACCAUUAUGGGCGAGUUGUUAGUUUAACUAUGUGUUGCAUUAGUUACAAAGCCAGUUUUCCUCCGUGAAGUAAAAUUUUGGUGGAUUUUUUAAGGCCAGUGCAUUUUCUGAGGAGUUUAUGGGGCAGUUCUCACAGUCUUAUCUCAUGGUCAUCGUCAUUAUUAAUAGAAGUACAGAACUUUUUGAUACUUCUCUCUGUUCCUAAAAGAUCUGCCUUCCUUUCUGAAUCCAGUUUCAGAUAAAUAUUCUUUAACAAGACCAAGGGAACUGAUAGCUUUGGCUAUUGUAUAUCCUACUGGCAGAGUAGCAGUAACAGUUACAAAUUUCCUGGCUUUAAAUGGAAAUUUUAUGUUUUUGCAAUAAAUAGUUUGCUGUCUAAUCCUUUACUAGUAGUAAUGCGUAGCAGAAUUUAAUAGAAGUACAGAACCUUUUGAUUAAUCAAUCAGUCUUGAAUAUGUUUGGAGACAUUUAAGUUGCUAAUUUCUAAAGUAUGUAACAUUACAUUAGGUCUCAAGAAUCGUUCUUGUGUGAUUCAAUCUAGUUCAACAGCAGCCCUUGCAUGACAGGAUAUUUUCUUUUAUUACAAGAUUUUGAGUAGCUCACAAGCUGCGAAGAUAGAGUAAGGAACACCCAUUUGCACAACUCUCAGGAUCGGAUUUGUGGUCCAGGUGCUUGCGACUUUGCAUUUUAUCUUGGUGCUCCAUCUUAAGUCAUUUACUGCUAGCCAGUAUUCUGCUUUUAUGUAUACCCGCAGAUAUAAAGAUUUCACUGAGCGAUCAUUGGUAGAUGAAGAUUCAUUUGAGGUUCUUCUCAUAGGAAAGGCAAAGGAUUGUUAUUCCCAAAGGUCCCCACUGAUCCAUUAAUAGUUCAUUUUUUAUGCUCCCGCAUCGUUACAUUUGGGGAAAUCUCUGUUUUGAAUCUGAUUGCUUUAACUUUUACAUACAAAUAUCUUUGUUAUGGUGGGGAGUAGGGUAAAAGAUGAAACAAUUGACAUGAGUUGGAUUAGGUCACACGAAUCAUCGUUGUGUGAUUCAAUCUAGUUCAGCAGUAUUCCUGGAUUGACAGAAUAUUUCCUUUUAUUGAAAGCUUGUAUUAUAUGUUUACUUGUAUUUGUGCUAUUGUUAUCCGACAACAUUGAUGUAUAUGAAGGUCUUGAGAUACGUUGGAGUCGUGGACGUGUCAACUGAAAAGGGGCAGUCGAGCUGGAGUAAAUAACAUUAUCCAUUUGCACAACUCACAGGAUUGGAUAACAUAAAUGCAUUCGCAACUGAAAAAUAUGCAAAUCAACUUCUAUUAGUCCGUUGUCCACAUGUAUACCUGACAGAUAUAAAGAUUUCACUGAGCUAUCAUUGGUAGAUGAAGAUUCCUUUGAAGUUCUUCUCAUAGAAAAGGCAAAGGGUUGUGAUUCCCUAAGGGAGGUCGGUAAAAAGAUGAAACAUUCAAAGAUGCAGCACAGCAUGAGACGGUGAGGAAGCUGGAAUACGAGGUGAAGUUGAGGGCAAACUGGGACCAUGGUGCUUUUAGAACAAACUGUAACACUGCCUAUGAAGGGCACAUGUUUCCUCUGUUUGUAACAGAACAACUACACUACCUGAGAAAGAGAUUCGAAAAAUUUAGCAACUCAACUAAU